rnacentral:pre_miRNA from 1 species
CUUGUACUCCCUCCGUCCGAAAAUACUUGUCAUCAAAAUGGAUAAAAGGAGGUGUAUCUAGACAUAUUUUAGUUCUAGAUACACCCCUUUUUAUCCAUUUUGGUGACAAGUAUUUUCGGAUGGAGGGAGUAUCCA